rnacentral:tRNA from 1 species
GGAGAGGUGUCCGAGUGGCCGAAGGAGCACGACUGGAAAUCGUGUGUGCGGUGAAAAGCCGCACCGUGGGUUCGAAUCCCACCCUCUCCG